UAAACAGAAAUUGAAAUUCUGAUUAUUUGUCUUGUCUAAAGGUAAGAAAACAGCCGAAAUUUAACUUUUUUAACAUUUUUAUUUGACAGUGCGAAACACAGGACUGCAGCAUCUGAGGGUAAACAAUGGUAAAUUGGUUUGCCUAACAAUAGCAGAGCUAGCACCACCGGCCUUCUGUCUUCCUUGCAGGUUUGGAGAAAAGGUCGUAAUGCUCAUCGGUACUCAUUGGGGCGGCCCCACUACGUCCUCUGAUUGGUUAUGAGUCUGGC